GACGAACGCUGGCGGCGUGCUUAACACAUGCAAGUCGAACGGAAAGGCCCUGCUUUUGUGGGGUGCUCGAGUGGCGAACGGGUGAGUAACACGUGAGUAACCUGCCCUUGACUUUGGGAUAACUUCAGGAAACUGGGGCUAAUACCGGAUAGGAGCUCCUGCUGCAUGGUGGGGGUUGGAAAGUUUCGGCGGUUGGGGAUGGACUCGCGGCUUAUCAGCUUGUUGGUGGGGUAGUGGCUUACCAAGGCUUUGACGGGUAGCCGGCCUGAGAGGGUGACCGGCGACAUGGGGACUGAGAUAGGGACCAGACGCCUACGGGAGGCAGCAGUGGGGAACAUGGCAGAAUGGGCGGAAGCCAGAUGCAGCAACGCCUCGAGCGGGAUGACGGCCUUCGGGUUGUAAACCGCUUUCGACGGUGACGAAGCGUGAGUGACGGUAAUGGGUAAAGAAGCACCGGCUAACUACGUG
rnacentral:rRNA from 1 species